rnacentral:rRNA from 1 species
GUCUGCAACUCGACUCCAUGAAGUCGGAAUCGCUAGUAAUCGUAGAUCAGAAUGCUACGGUGAAUACGUUCCCGGGCCUUGUACACACCGCCCGUCACACCAUGGGAGUGGGUUGCAAAAGAAGUAGGUAGCUUAACCUUCGGGAGGGCGCUUACCACUUUGUGAUUCAUGACUGGGGUGAAGUCGUAACAAGGUAACCG